UCCUCUUUGUGUAUUUUGUAAUUAUUUAGACCCCCAUAAGAAGCUACUAUACCUUGAUGUGAUUGCUAUUUUCUUAAGCUGUUGGAAAUAAUUUUAAGAUAUGUUCCAAUACUUUUUAGUACCAGCUAAAGGGUUGGAGGUGGUCGAGGUAGGGUUGACAACGAUAGACCGAGGAUGGUGGUCGAGAUAUGGUUGACAACGAUAGACCGAGGAUGGUGGCCGAAGUGGAGAGGUAUUGGUUUGGUGGGUAGACAGUUAAAAGUCUUAUCGGUUUAAGAGAAUACAUCUAUCUUAAAAAUUGGGAGGGAUCCACUUAGUAAGUGAAAAAUAUACUCCACAUCAUAUGUAACUAUUAUUGGGAAAUCCAAUGGUUUGAAUUAGUUAGUAGAUCUGAACCAUUAGAUUUUCCAAGAAUUAAUGGUAAGAUGUGAAAUAUGUUUUUUCUACUUACUCUUGGAGUAAGUGGAUCUCCUCCCUUAAAAAUUGUGCAACUUUAUAUGUUAUUUAACGUGGUUAAAUAAAAAAAAGUAUUUAAAUCAAAAGUUUAAUAAUUUAAUAUUUUUCUAACUAAUCAUUUAUUGAGUGACACUUUUUAGCUCUCUCUAAUGGGAUAAAAACAACUUAAUCUAUCUAAAAUAAUU